CCUGUUUGAUCCUGCCAGUAGUCAUAUGCUUACCUCAAAGAUUAAGCCAUGCAUGUGCAAGUAUGAACAAAUUCAGACUGUGAAACUGCGAAUGCCUCAUUAAAUGAAUUAUAGUUUGUUUGAUGGUAUCUACUACUCGGAUAACCGUACUAAUUCUAGAGAUAAUACGUGCAACAAACUCUGACUUCUAGAAGGGAUGCAUUUAUUAGAUAAAAGUUCGACGUGGGCUCUGCCCAUUGCAGCGAUGAUUCAUGAUACUCGACGGAUCGUAUGGCCAACGGGCCGGCGAUGCAUCAUUCUAAUUUCUGUGCUACCAAGUUUCGAUGGUAGGAUAGUGGCGUACCAAAGUGGUGACGGGUGAUGGAGAAUCAGGGUUCGAUUUCAAAGAGGGAUCCUGAGAAACGGCUACCACAUCCAAGGAAGGCAGCAGGCGUGCAAAUUACCCAAUCCUGACACGGGGAGGUAGUGACAAUAAAUAACAAUACCGGGCUCAAUGAGUCUGGUAAUUGGAAUGAGUACAAUCUAAAUCCCUUAACGAGGAUCCAUUGAAGGGAGAGUCUGGUGCCAGCAGCCGCGGUAAUUCCAUCACCAAUAGCUUAUAUUUAAGUUGUUGCAGUUAAAAAGCUCAAAGUUGGACUUUGGGAUUGGCCGACCGGUCCCCCUAUAGUGUGCAGUGGUCGUCCCAUCCCAUUUGUCAGCGAUGCGCUCCUGGCCUUAACUGGCCGGGUCAUGCCUCUGGCGCUGUUACUUUGAAGAAAUUAGAGUGCUUAAAGCAAGCUUGCUCUAUGUAUACAUUAGUAUGGGAUAAAAUUGUAGGAUUUUGGUCCCAUUACAUUGGCCUCCGGGAUCGAAGUAAUGAUUAACAGGGACAGUCGGGGGCAUUUGUAUUUCAUAGUCAGAGGUGACUUAUUGGAUUUAUGAAAUACGAACACCUGUAAAAGCAUUUUCCAAGGAUGUUUUCAUCAAUAAAGAAUGAAUUUUGGGGGAUCGAAGGCGAUCAGAUACCGUCCUAGUAUCAAUCAUAAACGAUGCUGACAAGGGAUCGGUAGAUGUUGCUUUUAGGACUCCGCCGACACUUUUUGAGAAAUCAUAGUUUUUGGGUUUCGGGGGGAGUAUGAUCACAAGGCUGAAACUUAAAGGAAUUGAUGGAAGGGCACCACCAGGAGUAGAGCCUACGGCUUAAUUUGACUCAACACGGGGUAAUUUACCAGGUCCCGACAUAGUAACGAUUGACAGACUGAGAGCUCUUUCUUGAUUUUGUGGGUGCUGGUGCAUGGCCGUUUUAGUUGGUGGAGUGAUUUGUCUGUUUAAUUUCAUUAACGAAUGAGACCUCAGCCUACUAACUAGCUAUGCGGAGGUAUCCCUUCACGGCCAGCUUCUUAGAGGGACUACGGCCUUUUAGGCCGCAAAAGUUUGAGGCAAUAAUAGGUCUGUGAUACCCUUAGAUGUUUUGGGCUGCACGCGUGCUACACUGAUGUAUUCAAUGAGUUUAUAGCCUUGGCCAAUAGGCUCGGGUAAUCUUUGAAAUUUCAUCGUGAUGGUGAUAGAUCAUUGCAAUUGUUGGUCUUCAACGAGAAAUUCCUAGUAAGCGUGAGUCAUUAGCUCCGUUGACUACGUCCCUACCCUUUGUACACACCGCCCAUCGCUCCUACCGAUUGAAUGAUCUAGUGAAAUGUUUGGAUUGCGGCGAUGUAGAUGGUUCACUGCCCACGACGUCGCGAGAAGUCCAUUGAACCUUAUUAUUUAGAGGAAGCAGAAUUCGUAAUAAGGUUUCCAUAGGUGAACCUGCAGAAG
rnacentral:rRNA from 1 species